AUGGAAGUAUCCGGACAGACCGUGGGUGGGCACGGGCUCCCAUGCGACGACAAGGAUAGAGAGUUGUUCACCUCUGAAGCUAGGGUCUCCGUAGGAAAUGGAAGGAAGGCCUCCUUCUGGAACUACACUUGGCUUGGCGACCAGCCGCUCAAGCUGCGGUUCCCACUGUUGUUUGCCAGCUCACCGAGGAAGAACCGAUCGGUAGCAGAAGCACUCCAGGCUGACAGAUGGAUCCUUGAUCUUCAGAGGGACAGUGCAAUGGAGAUCAUCCCGCAACUCGUCUCGCUACGAUGCAGCAUCCGCGAGGCCAACAUCACCCUGCAAGAAGAUAUGGAGGAUGAGAUCUCCUGGCGGUCGGGAGGCCAGUACAGCGCAAAAUUAGCCUACGACGCUCAGUUCGCUGUGCAGCCAAGAGUUGCACUCCAGCAGCUCAUCUGGAAGGUAUGGUCGCCUGGGAAAAUCAAGUUCUUCAUGUGGAUGUUGCACCACGACAAGCUCUGGGAUUGCGGCACGCUCAACCCGGUCACCUGGGAUGGGUGCAAGACCACAACGGAGGUCGCCACUGCAAUAGUCUCUGCAUCACCACCAUCCAACAGGCGAGCCACCAAAACCAUGAUGGCCCUAGUGGCAUGGCAUAUCUGGCAGGAGCGCAACAGCUGCACAUUCAGGAGGAAGACGGCAUGCAUCGAGGAUGUAAUCAACGCCUGCAGAAGAGAUUUCGAGCAAUGGAGACUAGCCGGAGCAAAAGGAAUAGCGCCCCCCUUUGGGGGCAUUACAUGA
rnacentral:rRNA from 1 species